UUUUGUGAAAGGUGCAAUGUGAGGUGGGACUGGAAGAAUGUCUAUUACAGAUCCUAAUUGAAGUAGCGAUUAUCCAGGCUUGUAUCCUGGGGGCUGAUGAAGGAGUAGGGUUUCUGGACAACUUAAACAGAUCCCAGAGUUAGUCGAUCCUAAUCUCAAUAAUGGGAGAAAGGGAGUACAGUUGAUAUUCUGUAACUGACAACAGUUCGCGGCAACGCAUACUAUUUUUCUCCGCCAAUCUUAUACCGUUGGUAGGGAUCUCUUUCCUACAUGACAGUACUAAUACCCAGGGAAACUGGUCAUCAGGCGAACUGCGGCGUUCUGCUGGCAAAACAUAGCUUCGGUUAUGUCAAUGGCUAUUGGAUUGGUCCAUGAAGCGAAAAAUAGUUUACUGUGUCACUCGUACCGAUAACCGCAUCAGGUCUUCUAGGUAAGUAGCCUAUGGCCAUUGAGGCAUGAUAGUUCAGGGAAUUCGGCCAAUUAGAGCUGUAACUUCGGGAUAAAGCUUGGCUCUGAUGAAAAUCAGAACCGAUUGUUACGCGGAGAGCCCAACUGUUUAAUAAAAACGUAGUGUCGCGCUGUGGUAGUAUAGCCAGUGAACGCGACAUGAAUCCUGCUCAGUGCUGUGUCUGUUAAUAUGGUUCAAGCCAACGAAGCACCGGUAAAUAGCUGGGGUAACUAUGACUCUUAUCAAAGUAGCGAAAUACCUCGUCACUUAAUUAGUGACCUGCAUGAACGGAGCUAUGAGGUUCUCACUGUCCCAAACUGUCUCUCAGCGAACCAACUGUAGUGGGAACGGUCACUAGAUAUCCAGCGGGGAAAGAAGACCCUGUAGAGCUUCACUUUGGUCUAGUCUUGUAUAGUUCCUGCGGGGGUGUAGACUAGGUGGGAGAGCAAUCGAUUCUGAAAAACCACUACCCUGUUUGGAAUUAUGCUUACCUAUCACAAGGAAUAGGACUAGAUAGAAAGUUUGGCUGGGGCGGCACACCUUCGAAAGAGCAGCGAAGGUGUCCUAAGUUGAGCUCAGUGAGGACAGAAAUCUCACGUUGAGGAUAAGGCCAAAAGCUC
rnacentral:ncRNA from 2 species